rnacentral:rRNA from 1 species
UAGAGUUUGAUCAUGGCUCAGAUUGAACGCUGGCGGCAGGCCUAACACAUGCAAGUCGAGCGGUAACAGGAAGAAAGCUUGCUUUCUUUGCUGACGAGCGGCGGACGGGUGAGUAAUGCCUGGGAAUAUGCCCUGAUGUGGGGGAUAACUAUUGGAAACGAUAGCUAAUACCGCAUAAUCUCUUCGGAGCAAAGAGGGGGACCUUCGGGCCUCUCGCGUCAGGAUUAGCCCAGGUGGGAUUAGCUAGUUGGUGAGGUAAUGGCUCACCAAGGCGACGAUCCCUAGCUGGUUUGUGAGGAUGAUCAGCCACACUGGAACUGAGACACGGUCCAGACUCCUACGGGAGGCAGCAGUGGGGAAUAUUGCACAAUGGGGGAAACCCUGAUGCAGCCAUGCCGCGUGUAUGAAGAAGGCCUUCGGGCUGUAAAGUACUUUCAGUUGUGAGGAAGGGGGUAACGUUAAUAGCGUUAUCUCUUGACGUUAGCAACAGAAGAAGCACCGGCUAACUCCGUGCCAGCAGCCGCGGUAAUACGGAGGGUGCGAGCGUUAAUCGGAAUUACUGGGCGUAAAGCGCAUGCAGGUGGUUCAUUAAGUCAGAUGUGAAAGCCCGGGGCUCAACCUCGGAACUGCAUUUGAAACUGGUGAACUAGAGUGCUGUAGAGGGGAGUAGAAUUUCA